CGUUGUCGUCAGCUCGUGUCGUGAGAUGUUGGGUUAAGUCCCGCAACGAGCGCAACCCUUGCCUUUAGUUGCCAGCAGUUCGGCUGGGCACUCUAAAGGGACUGCCGGUGUUAAACCGGAGGAAGGUGGGGAUGACGUCAAGUCCUCAUGGCCUUUAUGACCAGGGCUACACACGUACUACAAUGGCCGAUACAAAGGGCAGCGACACUGCGAGGUGAAGCCAAUCCCGUAAAAUCGGUCUCAGUCCGGAUUGGAGUCUGCAACUCGACUCCAUGAAGUUGGAAUCGCUAGUAAUCGUGGAUCAGCAUGCCACGGUGAAUACGUUCCCGGGCCUU
rnacentral:rRNA from 1 species